UAGUCUAUGCCUUGAUAGAUUUUAACCAUUGAUUUAAUUCCAUCUUCUUGAGAUCCCUUGAGCAAAAUUAUAAAUAACGAUACCUGGAAUACUUAUCCUGGUGAAAUGCUACAAUGAGGUGUUUUAUCUGUGCGCUUGCGGAUAGAAUAGAUUAUUUUCUAGAGAGCCUUUACAUUUAUAAAUACCUUUGUACACUCUGGCGCC
rnacentral:lncRNA from 1 species